UUGGAGGGCAAGUCUGGUGCCAGCAGCCGCGGUAAUUCCAGCUCCAAUAGCGUAUAUUAAAGUUGUUGCAGUUAAAAAGCUCGUAGUUGAAUUUCGGGAUUAGUACGUCGGUCGUGCCUUAGGUACGUACUGGUGUUACUGGUUCCUACCUUCUGACGAACCAUCAUGUCAUUAAUUUGGUGUGGUGGGGAAUCAGGACUGUUACUUUGAAAAAAUUAGAGUGUUUAAAGCAGGCUCGCGCUUGAAUACAUUAGCAUGGAAUAAUGAAAUAGGACGUUGAUCCUAUUUUGUUGGUUUCUAGGAUUGACGUAAUGAUUAAUAGGGAUAGUUGGGGGCAUUAGUAUUCAAUUGUCAGAGGUGAAAUUCUUGGAUUUAUUGAAGACUAACUACUGCGAAAGCAUUUGCCAAGGAUGUUUUCAUUAAUCAAGAACGAAAGUUAGGGGAUCGAAGGCGAUCAGAUACCGUCGUAGUCUUAACCAUAAACUAUGCCGACUAGGGAUCGGAUGAUGUUAAUUUUUUAAUGACUCAUUCGGCGCCUUACGGGAAAC
rnacentral:rRNA from 1 species